CGGUCACAUAUCCAAAAAAAGUAUUUAAGGUUAAGUGUGUUUGAAAUUGAAUACUAGAAGAAUGAAUGAUCUACAGAUAAGUGACUCACGAUAUUGUACAAGUGAAGCCAAAAUAUCGAAAGAUCAGUGUCAUUCUCUUUUUUUCAUAUGGAUCAGACUGGGUUGGAGCAACGGAAAGAUUUAAUCUCGACUACUACUUGAUCUAAUAAAAUGGGUAUUAACCAAAAAAAAAAAAAACUACACCUGACUUACAAGACUAUAAUCUCUGCUAGCAAGUUGAUUUUUCAAAUAGCGAUGUAUCAUACGUGGAGUGGAGAAAAAAGUGAAAGACAACAAACCAAACUCGCUUCUGUUUCUUGUUUAUAUAGUCCAUAAGUAAAUUCACAAUCGGCUCUUGUGCCUAUAGCACGAUCUAAUUAAUGAAAAUGGAGAAGGCGUCGCUCGAUAAUCACGUUCGGAUUAUUUUUUCGAGCUUUUGAUUUAUGAUUGGAUUUUUUUUAAAAAAAUUUAUGAUUGGAUUUCGAAUUCGGUUUUCUACGAUGAAUUUGAUUUAAUUUGUUCUUCUCUGUUAUAAAGGAUGAAACUGUACCUGUAUGUCAAUAAUUUUUAAUGCUUAAUAAUAUUCACAUUUCAAAAAAGAAU
rnacentral:lncRNA from 1 species